rnacentral:rRNA from 1 species
AACGAACGCUGGCGGCAGGCCUAACACAUGCAAGUCGAGCGGACCCUGCGGGGUUAGCGGCGGACGGGUGAGUAACGCGUGGGAACGUGCCCUUUGCUGCGGAAUAGCCCUGGGAAACUGGGAGUAAUACCGGAUACGCCCUUUUGGGGAAAGAUUUAUCGGCGAAGGAUCGGCCCGCGUUGGAUUAGGUAGUUGGUGGGGUAAUGGCCUACCAAGCCGACGAUCCAUAGCUGGUGUGAGAGCAUGAUCAGACACACUGGGACUGAGACACGGCCCAGACUCCUACGGGAGGCAGCAGUGGGGACUCUUCGACAAUGGGGGAAAGCCUGAUCUAGCCAUGCCGCGUGAGCGAUGAAGGCCUUAGGGUUGUAAAGCUCUUUCACCGGGGAAGAUAAUGACGGUACCCGGCGAAGAAGCCCCGGCUAACUCCGUG